CCUAGUCGUGGGGGAUAACAGUUGGAAACGACUGCUAAUACCGCAUACGCCCCACGGGGGAAAGGAGGGGACCUUCGGGCCUUUCGCGAUUAGAUGAGUCUAGGUGGGAUUAGCUAGUAGGUAAGGUAAUGGCUUACCUAGGCGACGAUCCCUAGCUGUUCUGAGAGGAUGAUCAGCCACACUGGGACUGAGACACGGCCCAGACUCCUACGGGAGGCAGCAGUGGGGAAUAUUGCACAAUGGGGGAAACCCUGAUGCAGCCAUGCCGCGUGUGUGAAGAAGGCCUUCGGGUUGUAAAGCACUUUCAGCGAGGAGGAAAGGGUAGUAGUUAAUAACUGCUAUCUGUGACGUUACUCGCAGAAGAAGCACCGGCUAACUUCGUGCCAGCAGCCGCGGUAAUACGAGGGGUGCAAGCGUUAAUCGGAAUUACUGGGCGUAAAGCGUACGCAGGCGGUUUGUUAAGCAAGAUGUGAAAGCCCCGGGCUCAACCUGGGAAUUGCAUUUUGAACUGGCAAACUAGAGUCUUGUAGAGGGGGGUAGAAUUUCAGGUGUAGCGGUGAAAUGCGUAGAGAUCUGAAGGAAUACCGGUGGCGAAGGCGGCCCCCUGGACAAAGACUGACGCUCAGGUACGAAAGCGUGGGGAGCAAACGGGAUUAGAUACCCCGGUAGUCCACGCCGUACACGAUGUCUACUCGGAGUUUGGUAACUUAGUUACUGAGCUCCCAAGCUAACGCAUUAAGUAGACCGCCUGGGGAGUACGGCCGCAAG
rnacentral:rRNA from 1 species